UGGGGAAUCUUCCGCAAUGGGCGAAAGCCUGACGGAGCAACGCCGCGUGAGCGAGGAAGGCCUUCGGGUUGUAAAGCUCUGUUAAACGGGACGAAGAGGCGAGGGUGAACAGCCUUUGCUGAUGACGGUACCGUACGAGAAAGCCACGGCUAACUACGUGCCAGCAGCCGCGGUAAUACGUAGGUGGCAAGCGUUGUCCGGAAUUAUUGGGCGUAAAGGGCGCGCAGGCGGUUGCGUAAGUCCGUCUUAAAAGUGCGGGGCUUAACCCCGUGAGGAGACGGAAACUGGGCGACUGGAGUGUCGGAGAGGAAAGCGGAAUUCCUAGUGUAGCGGUGAAAUGCGUAGAUAUUAGGAGGAACACCAGUGGCGAAAGCGGCUUUCUGGACGACAACUGACGCUGAGGCGCGAAAGCCAGGGGAGCGAACGGG
rnacentral:rRNA from 1 species